GCCGGCCAACGCAAUUGAAAAAUAAAACUAAAUCGCGGAAUUUGUCCCGAAGAAAAAACCGUCUGGCAAUACUUUUUCAUAAUAGUACAAAAAAUGAUAUAAUAGUACAAUAUGAUGCAAUCGGAGUCAACGUGAUAUAUUAGCACUUAACUUACCCCUGAGAAAAAUCUAUAGUUUAACUCAUGAGGUUGGUAUGAAAAGGGCUAUGAAAUCUUCAUGUAUAUUAAUCUGUUUUAUCGAGAGAAUGUUGCUUCAGAAUUUUCAUUUUGGUCAUUUGCUCAACUUAACGUUUUCAAAGAUCAUUAUUUUUUGCCGUCGGCAGAUAAUAUGAAUGACUUUAUCGAAAUGAUGCGAGAGUAUAAAUAUAUACAACUAUUGCGAAGUCCAUAUGUUUUACUGUAUGGAGACAGUGGAGAUAAUCAAAGAACUAUACUAUCUAAUUGUGUUUCAUAUCAUGGUAAUUUAAGCCUUAUGAUGCCGAAAAGCUCCAGAAAUGCUCGCCUUGGUCCCUGAUGAUUAUAAAGAGAAUUGUUUACACUUCUAACCUUUAUAAACUUUUCCGAAAUAAUAAAUUUGGGCGUGGAGAAGAAAAAAGCCACCUCAUUACAGCUUACUAUUAAAAUACAGAGAAUUCAAGCCUGGCGCAGAAAGAAGGCAGUCAACAAUCUUCAAGGAAAGGGGAUAAUGAGACGUCAAUUCUGGAUUAAAAUUUCGAUUUUCAAGAAAGAUCAAAACCCUGGUAGAUGUAAUAAUAGUUUACGAAGCAAUGAUCGGUUACCUAGCUAAAAGUAGUGCUUCGAAAAUUAUUGUGAUUUUAUAUGUAUAGACCGGAAUAUAUGGUGAGAAGCGUUUCCCGUUGCCAAUUUUCGAAAGGCCUUUUUAUAUUUCUCUAGGCCACAGAUCUGCAACUUGACUCAAGUGAUAGGAUGUGUGAAGUGAUGUUAUCAGGUUAGGUAAGGAGGCCACGUGAUAGGAUAAAUGUUGUAGUGAAUGUUCGUACAACAAUGAUUUUUCUCCAUUU